CAGGAAGGCUUCUUGGAAGAGGUGACAUGAGUUGAGAUUUCCAAGUGGUGAGCUAUUCAGGAGCUAGUGUGCUGUGGGUCACCAACGGUGAGGAUGCAGCUGUUGUCCUGGAGCCUCUGACUUCCAUCCAAAGGACCCCACGUGCCUUCUGGCCAGCUUCGUGCAGACACACGCUGAGUACAGUGGUCAGCCUGGUGCAAGGCCCCAGAGGAGCAAGUGUGUCCAGGAGGAGACAAGACCAGUGCACAGUGGCGCCUCUUGGCUGAAUGUAUUUAUUCCUGUGACUCAGGCUGCAGUGUUCCUGGCUUGGAAAGAGCCAGGAACUCAGUGAUGAGCUUGCUGCUUCACAUGCUGGGCAUGGGCGGCCUCCAGGCUUGGACUUCCCUUGCAAGAGCAGGGCCUUCUGCCCCUGCCCACCUGGUUGCCAGUGUGGGUGGCUGUGACUAGCCAUGGAUCUUCCCUCUGGGGAUGGCUGUCUCAGCUGCUGGGCUCCAGCUGUCUGCAGGCUUGAUAAAUACCAAAUUGCACGUGUGGGGUUCUUCUUCCCAAGCCCUUGGGCAUGGGGUCUCUGUGCACUUAAGAGCUGGGGACCCACCUGCAUCUCACCCCAUUCCUCCCAGAGCAUGGGUCCCCCUGGGUGGCCGGCCCCUGCCUGCAAAGCCACCUUGUCCAGGAGAUGCUGCUAUGAAUUGCCAGUACUGUGAGGAGGAGGUGAAGGGUAGACCUUGAAAACAGCGCAACGUUAAGAGGAGAAACUGGCACUGCUGUUUGUAAGAGUGCAUUCCUUCCCCUUUCUGUCACUUUAUAGACCAAAAAGAAAAAUGAAAGAAAAAAA
ensembl:lncRNA